CGACCCCAGGUCAGGCGGGGCUACCCGCUGAGUUUAA
rnacentral:rRNA from 15 species